CAUAGCAGAGAUGUGGUGUUUUGGUUAUGAUAUUACGAUCCUAGAAUACAGCUGAAGUGUUCUGGAACGUACCGGCGAAGUGGGUGAUACCCCCGUAAGCGAAGUAGUAUAGGAUCUUAUCAUAACCCGAGUAACUGUCCUUGGCAGUGGGCAGUGAAUAUAGGUGAAAGUAGUAUCUUAGGCUAAAUAUCUCUCAAGACCGAUAGUGUACUAGUACCGUGAGGGAAAGCUGAAAAGUACCCCGGAAGGGGGCUGAAAAGUGCAUGAAACUUAUUGGUUACAGACGUGCAUGGCAUGAAAGGUGAUUUUUUCAUACUGGAGGUUCUAGCAAUAGAGCUGAACGUUUGGAGGUCAAAUCAUCAGUGUCAUGCGUUCCGUCUCGAAACACGGGCCAGGGAGCUUAUUGUCAUGGCAAGUCUAAGCCAUUAAAGGUGAAGACGAAGGGAAACCGAGUUCUCGCAACUUUUGUGAGGAGAAGCGUGUGAAAGUGCGUUGAGUCAUGGCGGUAAGGCUAGAAGCCAGUCGAUCUAUUCCUGAGCAAGCUGAAGGCGGGCGAAAGCCCGCUGGAAGGCUGUAGCAGUUCUGACGUGCAAAUC
rnacentral:rRNA from 1 species